GCUGAGGUGGCUCAGUCGGUAGAGCGUCGCCUUGGUAAGGCGGAGGUCACCAGUUCGAUUCUGGUCAUCAGCU
rnacentral:tRNA from 1 species